CCUACGGGAGGCAGCAGUCGAGAAUCAUUCACAAUGGGGGAAACCCUGAUGGUGCGACGCCGCGUGGGGGAAUGAAGGUCUUCGGAUUGUAAACCCCUGUCAUGUGGGAGCAAAUUAAAAAGAUAGUACCACAAGAGGAAGAGACGGCUAACUCUGUGACAGCAGCCGCGGUAAUACAGAGGUCUCAAGCGUUGUUCGGAAUCACUGGGCGUAAAGCGUGCGUAGGCUGUUUCGUAAGUCGUGUGUGAAAGGCGCGGGCUCAACCCGCGGACGGCACAUGAUACUGCGAGACUAGAGUAAGGGAGGGGGAACCGGAAUUCUCGGUGUAGCAGUGAAAUGCGUAGAUAUCGAGAGGAACACUCGUGGCGAAGGCGGGUUCCUGGACAUUAACUGACGCUGAGGCACGAAGGCCAGGGGAGCGAAAGGGAUUAGAUACCCCUGUAGUC
rnacentral:rRNA from 1 species